rnacentral:rRNA from 1 species
GCCCUUAUGACCUGGGCUACACACGUGCUACAAUGGUUGGUACAACGAGUUGCGAGUCGGUGACGGCGAGCUAAUCUCUUAAAGCCAAUCUCAGUUCGGAUUGUAGGCUGCAACUCGCCUACAUGAAGUCGGAAUCGCUAGUAAUCGCGGAUCAGCACGCCGCGGUGAAUACGUUCCCGGGCCUU